rnacentral:rRNA from 1 species
UGGGUAACCUGCCCUUAACUCUGGGAUAAGCCUGGGAAACUGGGUCUAAUACCGGAUAUGACUCCUCAUCGCAUGGUGGGGGGUGGAAAGCUUUUUGUGGCUUUGGAUGGACCCGCGGCCUAUCAACUUGUUGGUGAGGUAAUGGCUCACCAAGGCGACGACGGGUAGCCGGCCUGAGAGGGUGACCGGCCACACUGGGACUGAGACACGGCCCAGACUCCUACGGGAGGCAG